CUCAGUAACGGCGAGUGAAGCGGUAACAGCUCAAAUUUGAAAUCUGGCCUCACGGUCCGAGUUGUAAUUUGUAGAGGAUGCUUCGAGCAUGGUCUGGCCUAAGUUCCUUGGAACAGGACGUCAUAGAGGGUGAGAAUCCCGUAUGCGGCCAGGUGCCUACGCUCAUGUGAAGCUCCUUCGACGAGUCGAGUUGUUUGGGAAUGCAGCUCAAAAUGGGUGGUAAAUUUCAUCUAAAGCUAAAUAUUGGCCAGAGACCGAUAGCGCACAAGUAGAGUGAUCGAAAGAUGAAAAGCACUUUGGAAAGAGAGUUAAACAGUACGUGAAAUUGUUGAAAGGGAAGCGCUUGCAACCAGACUUGCGCGCGGCCGAUCAUCCGGUGUUCUCACCGGUGCACUCGGCCGUGCUCAGGCCAGCAUCGGUUUUGGCGGCUGGAUAAAGGCCCUAGGAAUGUAGCUCCUCUCGGGGAGUGUUAUAGCCUAGGGUGCAAUGCAGCCUGCUGGGACCGAGGACCGCGCUUCGGCUAGGAUGCUGGCGUAAUGGUUGUAAGCGGCCCGUCUUGAAACACGGACCAAGGAGUCUAACAUCUAUGCGAGUGUUUGGGUGUCAAACCCAUACGCGUAAUGAAAGUGAACGGAGGUGAGAACCCUUAAGGGUGCAUCAUCGACCGGUCCUGAAGUUUACGGAAGGAUCUGAGUAAGAGCAUAGCUGUUGGGACCCGAAAGAUGGUGAACUAUGCCUGAAUAGGGUGAAGCCAGAGGAAACUCUGGUGGAGGCUCGCAGCGGUUCUGACGUGC
rnacentral:rRNA from 1 species